rnacentral:rRNA from 1 species
UAAGGGAUAUUGGUCAAUGGGGCGGGAGCCUGAACCAGCCAUGCCGCGUGAGGGAAUGAGGCCCUACGGGUCGUAAACCUCUUUUGCCGGGGGAUAACGGGCGCCACGCGUGGCGCCGUGAAGGUACCCGGAGAAUAAGCAUCGGCUAACUCCGUGCCAGCAGCCGCGGUAAUACGGAAGGUCCGGGCGUUAUCCGGAUUUAUUGGGUUUAAAGGGAGCGUAGGCCGUCUUUUAAGCGUGUUGUGAAAAUGCCGCGGCUCAACCGUGGCACUGCAGCGCGAACUGGAGGACUUGAGUGCGCAGGAGGUAGGCGGAAUUCGUGGUGUAGCGGUGAAAUGCUUAGAUAUCACGAAGAACCCCGAUUGCGAAGGCAGCUUACCGUAGCGUUACUGACGCUGAAGCUCGAAAGUGCGGGUAUC